rnacentral:lncRNA from 1 species
GAGAUGACAGAUGCCCUCACCAACAGGAACGCAGACCCUGUGAAGUUUACUGCGUCUAAGGCCCUGUGGAGCUCAGGAAUCAUCCGAACAGACCCACGGAUUAAAGACUGCUACAGCCUGAUGCGGAAAUUACAGGAAGCAGAUGGAACUGUUGACAGGAGCACUUUUCACAGGCCAGACAGAAUUUUGAUACCAAUAGUCAAAUUUAAAGCAUCUUAAAUAUAAAUACUAAACACGCCUAAUCUAUUAUGCUGCUAAUAUACUUCAUUUGUGAACAUCUUGCAGGUGCGUGACUGGCUUUGUGUCUUUCAUCCUGAAGGCAUUGCAGGGAAGAUUUGUCAUUCCAGAUUUCUCUACAUUCACAGAG